rnacentral:rRNA from 1 species
CUACGUGCCAGCAGCCGCGGUAAUACGUAGGGUGCGAGCGUUAAUCGGAAUUACUGGGCGUAAAGCGGGCGCAGACGGUUACUUAAGCAGGAUGUGAAAUCCCCGGGCUCAACCUGGGAAUUGCGUUCUGAACUGGGUGGCUAGAGUGUGUCAGAGGGGGGUAGAAUUCCACGUGUAGCAGUGAAAUGCGUAGAGAUGUGGAGGAAUACCGAUGGCGAAGGCAGCCCCCUGGGAUAGCACUGACGUUCAUGCCCGAAAGCGUGGGUAGCAAACAGGAUUAGAUACCCUGGUAGUCCACGCCCUAAACGAUGUCGAUUAGCUGUUGGGCAACUUGAUUGCUUGGUAGCGAAGCUAACGCGUGAAAUCGACCGCCUGGGGAGUACGGUCGCAAGAUUAAAACUCAAAGGAAUUGACGGGGACCCGCACAAGCGGUGGAGCAUGUGGUUUAAUUCGAAGCAACGCGAAGAACCUUACCAGGUCUUGACAUCCC